rnacentral:tRNA from 1 species
GGAUGUGCCGGAAAGGCCGGAAUUUCCUUGCGUUUUUGCCGCAGCUUGUGAUUGUGUCGACGCAGAGGGUGAGUUCCGGCCCGCCGCUUCCUCCA